rnacentral:lncRNA from 1 species
UGUUGACCUAGUUUUUAUACCCAUUGCUGACAUUUCAACUAUGCUCAGUCCAAUGUCUUAUGGAGUGAGAAAUCUGUUUUCCUUAUUUAAGAAAAAUGUGAUAAAAACUGAAUUCACCUAUAUCUCUUUUGCAACAUCAGUGAUGCUAUCAUUUGUUAAUUUCUUAAUUUCACAAAUAUUUGAUUGCCUAAUACAUACCUAUUAUGCUAAAUUUUAGUGAUACAAUGGAGACCAAACAGGCAAAGUCCUGGCUCUCAUAAUAUAAUAGUCUAAGAAUAGAUAGAGAUUAGAAAAAAUAAUCCCACAACUGUUUGAUGAUUAACAGAGAUAAUGGCCAUGGUCAAAACUGCAGGUUACACGAGUAUGUGAUAUAAAUUGUACUCACUUAUUCUGAUGGUCAAAAUUCAUUUUUUAAAGGUACGCUCUUACAUUGCUGGUGGGACCACAAAUUGGUGCAACCCCAGAGUGGUUGGAGUAUGGAGUAUGGAGAUUCCUCAGAAAACUUGGAAUUAAAUCACCAUUUGACUCAGUUAUCCCACUCCUCGGCAUAUACCCAAAGGACUUAAAAUCAGCAUACUACAGUGAUGUGGCCACGUCAGUGUUUAUAGCAGCUCAAUUCAUAAUACCUAAACUGUGAAAUCAAUCUAAGUUCCCUUCAACAGAUGAAUGGAUAAAGAAAAUGUGGUAUAUGUACACAGUGAAAUAUUCCUCAGCUCUAAAGAAUGAAAUAAUGAUAUUUGCUGGUAAAUGGAUGGAACUAGAGAUUAUCAUGUUAAGUGAAAUAAACCAAUCCCCCCAAAACAAAGGCUGCAUGUGGAGAUACUUAAUAAGGUAGGGUGGGGAGAGGGAAGAAUAGAAAUUCAUUGGAUUAGAUAAAGGGGAAUAAAGGGAAGGGAGAAGGGAUGGGAAUAGGAAAGACAGUAGAAUGAAUCAGACAUAACUUCCCUAUGUUCACAUAUGAAUACACAAUCAAUGUAACUGUACAUCAUGUACAACCACAAGAAUGGGGUAUUCUAAAUUAUACUGUACGUAUGUAUGUAUAAUGUCAAAAUAAAUUCUACUGUCAUCUGCAUCUAAAAAGAACAAAUAAAAAAUUCAUUGUCUGGACUG